GGGCGUAGUUUAAUGGUAAAACACCAGCUUCCCAAGCUGGAAUCGAGGGUUCGAUUCCCUUCGCCC
rnacentral:tRNA from 1 species